CACCGCGGUUAUACGAGAGGCCCAAGCUGACAGACCCUCGGCGUAAAGUGUGGUUAAAUAGUGUACCUACUAAGGUCGAAUGCAGUCAAAACUGUUAUACGUAAUCGAAUGCUAGAAGCCCCGUCACGAAAGUAACCUUAUAAUAUUGAACCCACGAAAGCUAGGACA
rnacentral:rRNA from 1 species